GACGAACGCUGGCGGCGUGCUUAACACAUGCAAGUCGAACGGUAAGGCCCUUCGGGGUACACGAGUGGCGAACGGGUGAGUAACACGUGGGUGAUCUGCCCUGCACUUCGGGAUAAGCCUGGGAAACUGGGUCUAAUACCGGAUAGGACCCUGGGAUGCAUGUCCUGGGGUGGAAAGCUUUUGCGGGGUGGGUUGGGCCCGCGGCCUAUCAGCUUGUUGGUGGGGUGAUGGCCUACCAAGGCGACGACGGGUAGCCGGCCUGAGGGGGUGACCGGCCACACUGGGAAUGAGAUACGGCCCAGACUCCUACGGGAGGCAGCAGUGGGGAAUAUUGCACAAUGGGCGCAAGCCUGAUGCAGCGACGCCGCGUGAGGGAUGACGGCCUUCGGGUUGUAAACCUCUUUCAGCACCGACGAAGCGCAAGUGACGGUAGGUGCAGAAGAAGGACCGGCCAACUACGUGCCAGCCGCCGCGGUAA
rnacentral:rRNA from 1 species